GAUUAAGUUAUUAAGGGCGCACGGUGGAUGCCUUGGCACUAGAAGCCGAUGAAGGACGUUACUAACGACGAUAUGCUUUGGGGAGCUGUAAGUAAGCUUUGAUCCAGAGAUUUCCGAAUGGGGAAACCCAGCAUGAGUUAUGUCAUGUUAUCGAUAUGUGAAUACAUAGCAUAUCAGAAGGCACACCCGGAGAACUGAAACAUCUUAGUACCCGGAGGAAGAGAAAGAAAAUUCGAUUCCCUUAGUAGCGGCGAGCGAAACGGGAAGAGCCCAAACCAACAAGCUUGCUUGUUGGGGUUGUAGGACACUCUGUACGGAGUUACAAAGGACGACAUUAGACGAAUCAUCUGGAAAGAUGAAUCAAAGAAGGUAAUAAUCCUGUAGUCGAAAAUGUUGUCUCUCUUGAGUGGAUCCUGAGUACGACGGAGCACGUGAAAUUCCGUCGGAAUCUGGGAGGACCAUCUCCUAAGGCUAAAUACUCUCUAGUGACCGAUAGUGAACCAGUACCGUGAGGGAAAGGUGAAAAGCACCCCGGAAGGGGAGUGAAAUAGAACCUGAAACCGUGUGCUUACAAGUAGUCAGAGCUCGUUAAUGGGUGAUGGCGUGCCUUUUGUAGAAUGAACCGGCGAGUUACGAUUUGAUGCAAGGUUAAGCAGUAAAUGUGGAGCCGUAGCGAAAGCGAGUCUGAAUAGGGCGUUUAGUAUUUGGUCGUAGACCCGAAACCAGGUGAUCUACCCUUGGUCAGGUUGAAGUUCAGGUAACACUGAAUGGAGGACCGAACCGACUUACGUUGAAAAGUGAGCGGAUGAACUGAGGGUAGCGGAGAAAUUCCAAUCGAACCUGGAGAUAGCUGGUUCUCUCCGAAAUAGCUUUAGGGCUAGCCUCAAGUGAUGAUUAUUGGAGGUAGAGCACUGUUUGGACGAGGGGCCCCUCUCGGGUUACCGAAUUCAGACAAACUCCGAAUGCCAAUUAAUUUAACUUGGGAGUCAGAACAUGGGUGAUAAGGUCCGUGUUCGAAAGGGAAACAGCCCAGACCACCAGCUAAGGUCCCAAAAUAUAUGUUAAGUGGAAAAGGAUGUGGCGUUGCCCAGACAACUAGGAUGUUGGCUUAGAAGCAGCCAUCAUUUAAAGAGUGCGUAAUAGCUCACUAGUCGAGUGACACUGCGCCGAAAAUGUACCGGGGCUAAACAUAUUACCGAAGCUGUGGAUUGUCCUUUGGACAAUGGUAGGAGAGCGUUCUAAGGGCGUUGAAGCAUGAUCGUAAGGACAUGUGGAGCGCUUAGAAGUGAGAAUGCCGGUGUGAGUAGCGAAAGACGGGUGAGAAUCCCGUCCACCGAUUGACUAAGGUUUCCAGAGGAAGGCUCGUCCGCUCUGGGUUAGUCGGGUCCUAAGCUGAGGCCGACAGGCGUAGGCGAUGGAUAACAGGUUGAUAUUCCUGUACCACCUAUAAUCGUUUUAAUCGAUGGGGGGACGCAGUAGGAUAGGCGAAGCGUGCGAUUGGAUUGCACGUCUAAGCAGUAAGGCUGAGUAUUAGGCAAAUCCGGUACUCGUUAAGGCUGAGCUGUGAUGGGGAGAAGACAUUGUGUCUUCGAGUCGUUGAUUUCACACUGCCGAGAAAAGCCUCUAGAUAGAAAAUAGGUGCCCGUACCGCAAACCGACACAGGUAGUCAAGAUGAGAAUUCUAAGGUGAGCGAGCGAACUCUCGUUAAGGAACUCGGCAAAAUGACCCCGUAACUUCGGGAGAAGGGGUGCUCUUUAGGGUUAACGCCCAGAAGAGCCGCAGUGAAUAGGCCCAAGCGACUGUUUAUCAAAAACACAGGUCUCUGCUAAACCGUAAGGUGAUGUAUAGGGGCUGACGCCUGCCCGGUGCUGGAAGGUUAAGAGGAGUGGUUAGCUUCUGCGAAGCUACGAAUCGAAGCCCCAGUAAACGGCGGCCGUAACUAUAACGGUCCUAAGGUAGCGAAAUUCCUUGUCGGGUAAGUUCCGACCCGCACGAAAGGCGUAACGAUUUGGGCACUGUCUCAACGAGAGACUCGGUGAAAUCAUAGUACCUGUGAAGAUGCAGGUUACCCGCGACAGGACGGAAAGACCCCGUGGAGCUUUACUGUAGCCUGAUAUUGAAAUUCGGCACAGCUUGUACAGGAUAGGUAGGAGCCUUUGAAACGUGAGCGCUAGCUUACGUGGAGGCGCUGGUGGGAUACUACCCUAGCUGUGUUGGCUUUCUAACCCGCACCACUUAUCGUGGUGGGAGACAGUGUCAGGCGGGCAGUUUGACUGGGGCGGUCGCCUCCUAAAAGGUAACGGAGGCGCUCAAAGGUUCCCUCAGAAUGGUUGGAAAUCAUUCAUAGAGUGUAAAGGCAUAAGGGAGCUUGACUGCGAGACCUACAAGUCGAGCAGGGUCGAAAGACGGACUUAGUGAUCCGGUGGUUCCGCAUGGAAGGGCCAUCGCUCAACGGAUAAAAGCUACCCCGGGGAUAACAGGCUUAUCUCCCCCAAGAGUUCACAUCGACGGGGAGGUUUGGCACCUCGAUGUCGGCUCAUCGCAUCCUGGGGCUGUAGUCGGUCCCAAGGGUUGGGCUGUUCGCCCAUUAAAGCGGUACGCGAGCUGGGUUCAGAACGUCGUGAGACAGUUCGGUCCCUAUCCGUCGUGGGCGUAGGAAAUUUGAGAGGAGCUGUCCUUAGUACGAGAGGACCGGGAUGGACAUACCUCUGGUGUACCAGUUGUCGUGCCAACGGCAUAGCUGGGUAGCUAUGUGUGGACGGGAUAAGUGCUGAAAGCAUCUAAGCAUGAAGCCCCCCUCAAGAUGAGAUUUCCCAACUUCGGUUAUAAGAUCCCUCAAAGAUGAUGAGGUUAAUAGGUUCGAGGUGGAAGCAUGGUGACAUGUGGAGCUGACGAAUACUAAUCGAUCGAAGACUUAAUCAA
rnacentral:rRNA from 1 species